CAGCGGCAAGGACUGCGAAGAUGGUUUCCAGCUGCGGGUAGAAGGAGAGGGCAACAACAGGGCUGUGACACACCGUCAGACUCAUGUGAUCCACGUAGGAAAGAAUACUCGCUCAGGGUACACCAUGCAACCGUUGUUUCGUGUGUGACGCGCAGUUCUCUUUAUAAAGGUUUGGGUCUGGUUGCCACUUCGAAGCGUUUGGCCUUGCGCUGAGAAUGAAUACAUUUUGGAUUACGUUUACCAUACUGACGCUAACAGGUAUCCUCUGCUCUGACAGUGAACAGAGCAUGACAGAAGUGGACAGCGAAGGCAGCACCACAACAAUCCCCGUGGAGUCCUAUAGAUUAGUGGGCCGCGCUGGCUGCCCUUCGUUUCGCGCUUGUCGCAGCCGCUGCUAUCGCCGAGGGCCCUACUCAAGUGGUAGGUGCAUCGGUGUGCGCAAACUCACCUGCAUGUGCACUUCGAGUGUUCGAAGAAACAGCGGUUGAUAUUCUUCAGCGUUGCAAAUAUAGCUCCUCCAGAAGCGGCUCUUUGCAUGACAUUAAAGUUGGAGUCAUGACAAAAAAGAUGCCGGAACAAUUUUACUGCGCAACUCGGAAGUUUUGAUGGCCAGCUGAAUUGAAACGAACAUCAAGGAUAAUCCUGCAGAUAUGAAACCACUGCCAAGUGGUUCGCAACGAUCUUCGCUACUAAUCCUACGAUUAAAAAAAAAUUCGAUAUGGUCAUGACGUGACUACGCAAGAAUCAGGACACUGAAAAACGUUUGUUACGCACUGGUUCGCUACAAACUGUCGACCAACAAUGAAAGAGGUGUAAAAAAGGAUCUGUAAAUUCCGGAACUGAACUGCAGGACGUAUCCUUUCACAGGAACCUACCUACAAAUGCGAAACCACUCGGCGUUGGUACCCGGCAAGCGAUCAUUGCUCUGGAAAUAUUUCUGUUUACACUUGCUGCGCUGUCGAUAACGCGACGAGGCUCUUUUUGUAUACUGAUUAACAGUGACACGAAUUAUCAGCGGCAUACACCAAAAAGAAACGCUUGCAGUCCGGCUAUGACGAAGGACGCAUGAGAACGUUUAUAUUUCACCAUCGGCGCAAUAUACACUUGUUCGCUAGCUGCAGUUAAUUAAACGUAUGUGCUUACCUACGUGAAUAUGUAGAUGUUUUUUGUGACUGUAUCGAGGCUACCGCGCAGUACGUAGGCAUGAAAUAGUUUCUUGUGCAUUUCCCUCGCCUGUGACAGCGUUUUCUAAGUUUUUGCAGCAUUAGAAGUAAGCCAGUAUUAUAUGUGUGUUUACAUGUAAGUGGAAUGUCACAAAUCACGUUUUUCGCAAUCGACCUUUAGAAACAUUUGAACAAACAAUUCACAAGUAUUUGUACUAAAUUUAUAACCAUUUGCACCUCAUUUGUAUUUUUGCAAUGGUGAAUGCGCUGAGAAAUUACAAUGUAUUUUGUCCUCUCAAUUUCGAUCGACUACGAUAUUGAUGGAUUCACGAAAAAUGCGUUUUGAGUACGUACACGAAUAGGCUGUAUAUAAGGACACCCCAUGAUCAUGUCAAGAACGUUCACUGUUUGUGCGAACUAUUCUUUGAAUGUGCAGUCGUGUUGUGCAUCAUAUACAUUUGUAUUUGUGUUUGACGAAGACAGUAAAACAGUUUUUUCCUUCAUUACGAAGACUCAAUUUCCUUAUUUCCUGAUGGGAGCCCAUGACAUUUAUUCGAGAAUACAGGAAGUGCCCAAAGCAACA